CCACUUUGACCAUUUCGUAUCACAUGACUCUCAUCUACUUCCGGGUUACUUAACUCAAACUUAUGUGAUGCUAAAACGGUUUGGGAAAAGACGAUUUGCUGCGAUCUCCUGAACUGCUUGUGUAUUUAUAUUCAUUUAGACUCAUUGGCAUAAUCAGACUCAGCAAAAAUGGCUAACUGUGGCUGGUUGUGGAGUAUGAUUUGGUUCAUCAUCCUCUUCGUGUUUGGCUGGCCUAUUGGAUUUUUCUGUGCUGUGUUCUAUGUCUUGCUCAGCCCAUGUGCAGCAUGUUGCUCUGGCUGUAUUGAACUCAUUAACCUACUAGAGCGAGGGGUCAAGUUACCACUAACAUGUGCUCAGAAUAUGGUAUCUGGGAAAUCCAUGUGUUAGUGGUAUUGGAAGCAUGAUACAAUCGGAACACAGUGGACCACAUCUUAGCUCAUUUACAAUUUGUUAGUGUGUAGGACAGUAGUACAUGUACUAAUUUGGUAAUUUCAAAAUAUAUAACCAAUUGUCUUCCAUCAUAUACUCUGCCUUGAAAUAUUAGAAUAUUCCUUUGUGCAUCUUAUAAUGUACACAUAAUUUAGUGUAUUGUUAUUCAUUGUAGUAGUUUGUUACAGGUCACUGUGAUGUUGGUCAAUGUUCUGUAUUGUAUUUCAUAAUCAUUGUCUCAAAUAUAAUGGAAACAAAAUGACCCAGAUGACUUCAUACAGAGACAAAUACCCCAAGGCUCGACCUCAACUGAAUUUGACUGUUUUAAGCCAGUUAGAAAAAAAAUGAACAAAAAAAAGAGUUAUUUUAGAAUGUGACAAUUUUCUCAAUCUGAACUCUAGUUUUUAAAACAUUUGGGUGCACUAUGCCUGUGAAUUUACAUGUCAUUAAAAGUUUUCUAUUCAUUUUAAUAAUCUGAGUCUACUUAAUAAAGUUUUUUUUUUAAAUUGCCUGUUUUAAUUUUUAGAUCUAUAUGUUUCUGAUAAUAGGUGCUAAUAUUCAGGUGCUUAAACUCUUCUUCUUUUUUAAAGAGUGGGUGGGAGCAGGAGCAGAUCCAUAUAUUAAUCAAGUAAAGAUGAAAAUGGAAAUGUCUUGGUAAUAUAUGAACAUAACAUUUUUGGAAGAACUUGCUUUUUCCUUUGUUGUAAAACCUUGACAAAAUGUGCAUAUUCCACAGUCAACAGGCUAGGAUUAAGAAUAUGGAGGCAUUAUGUCAUCAACCUAAGGCUGCCUUUCCAUUGGUGCGGUUUUACCUGCACGGUUAUUUCAGCCGCUAAGCGGUCCAAUGUGAUUAAAAUUAGCUCUACUGGUCUUAACCAGUAGAUCUAACAGCAUUGCAUGGACUCCCAUGUCCAAGUGACAUUUCAUCUAUAAAUAACAAUUUAAAUAUCGACCAAUUACACUUCGCCUUUUAUAGCAUUAUUCGGGAGCAUACAAAUUCUAAAAAUAUCGGGCGAGACUAUUUAUGCAAUAGAUGAACUUGUUGGUCUUUUUCAGCAUUGAAAAAAAUGGGGGGAAAGUGCAGUAAUAAACUCUGGAAUGUAUACUAGUAUAAACAGAUUUUAUGGCUAUACCAUCACGGGUUUUUUCCAUCUUGAAACAAAUUUUAUAUAAAAUUUUAUAUUGAAAUUAGUUUCCAGCAUACUUUGUAAUUCACCCGAAUCAUUUCGUAUACCCUCAGCAUAAUCCCAAAUGUUUUCAAAUUCUUUUCAAAUUACUUGCAUGAUUUUGCAAUUAAGGUUUUGAUUAGUCAAAUGAAAGGUCAACUGGACAUGAACUCCAAUGGGCUGCUGUUAGAUCCACAUGUAAUAGUGGAGCUAAUUUUAAUUAGAUUUCUAAGUGGUCACAAUCGAAUGCGGAAAUAAAUGAACAUCGAAAUAAAGUUAUUGUAUUGUAUUGUAUUGAUUUGCACCGACGUCUUUCCAUUGACACGGGUGCUAACCAUGCGGCAAAAAAAAGUUGAUCAUGUAUCAGAUUUUUUUUCCAGCUGUGCGGCUCGAACCGCAAAAUGAUUAUCCAUAAAAUGACAUGAUUUUGGGGGUAUUACCCAUGAUUACCCAUCUCCCACACUUGUGUGAUUUAUAGCAUCAUUUAAUUUUCAAGUUUUCGGAGUAGGCCAUUGUAGCACUCUUUGUACAAUCAGCGAGCAAUGUCCACACAUGAGCAAAUAGAAAUUUUAACUGACAUAAUUUUUACGAUGCAGUGGGCUGUUUGUGCCCUUUUAUCCACCCCUACCUACGGAUGUGUGAUGGCAGUAAAACAUAAUUGAUUCCAUGUGGCAUUGUUGUAUGCAAGGUACUAAUAAAUUGUUGUAUUGCCAUUUCCAAUAAAACAACAUAUGCUGUGUCUAUGCUGCUUCGUAUUAUGCCCUGCAUGAUAUCACUAAAAGUUGUAAUACCUGAUGCAUAUUACCAGCCUUUGCUUGGCUGAAUGAGGUGCACAGAGAAUGGUCAUUUUACUUAUAAGUGGACCUACAAAUACCAAAACAUAUUCCAGCUUCUCAGGAGACAUACGAAAAUACUAAUGAUAGUUUUCGCUAUUAAAUUGAAGCUCCUGCACCAGAUAACGGAAAGCAUCCUGCUCCAAUCUGCUCAUUAUUUAACAUUCCCAAAAUCUGUGUGUGUUAAUUCUCGUCUCCUAUAAUCCGUCACAUCCUCCUACACAUUUUGUGUUUUUUAAAUAAUUUCAGUUUAGUUUGAUUUAAGAAGAAAAGUAAAUGUUUUGGAAAUAACAAAAACCAACUAUUUUGUGUCCAAUUUAAAAAACAAUCUGCUCGGUAAUAAAUAAUUUGUAGUAAAUUACAUAGUAUGAAAAAAAGAAAGUGUUCCCUGUGGGAAGGAUUAUAAGUAAUAGUUCAAAUCUCGAUUUGAUCAGAUGUUUUUGUUUUCUGUAGAUGUUUCAUUAGUAAUGCAGCUUUCUCAUUUAACAAUGACACAAGAAAGGAACAGUGUCAUAAAAACGCUUCAGUGGAAAUGUGCUAGCCGUGCGGGUAGAACCACUUGGCAGCUAACCAUGCAGCAAUAACCACACUAAUGGAAAGGCAGCCUUAGUGUUAUAAAACAUUUUACGAAUGUUUCUGGGUGGGUUUUUUUACUAUCUCAGCACUACGAUAUCGUAAAACCAUCAUAGGCUAUGACUUCACUACAACACAUGCCAUAGCCUAUGAUUUGUUUGGAUAUCGUAGUGUUGAGAUAGCCCUGGUUAUUGAAACUUUUAUGUUUUGUCUUAUUUAGUAAAUUUUACUGUUACUAGUUGGAUGCGUUUAUACUGCUGAUUUUUCUUAAAUUAUUUAGAUACAUAUUGAUUACUUACUCUUCAUAUUAAUUGUGAAAUACGAGUAGAACCACUUGGUGGCUAACCGUGAGGCAAUAACCGCACUAAUGGGAAGACAGCCUUAGUGUUGCAAAACAUUUUACGAAUAUGUUUCUGGUUGUUUUUUGGGUUUUUUAAUUAUAAGGACAAAAUGAAUUAAAAAAAAAAAAAAAUUAAAUGAAUUAACUAAAUAAUAAUAUGCCAAAUUUUUAUACUUAUGUUAAUGCAAAUCUUUUUAAUUAUAUUUCAACAAGUAGAAAGAUUUUAAUACAUUUUUGAACAGUUUAAAAACAAAAAAACAAAACAAAUUAUAUUCAGAAUUUUGGCAUUUAUCAGUACAAUUUACAAUGAAACUGCCAUCAAUAUGAUUUCUCUAAUGAUUUUAACACAUUUGUAUAAAUAUAUAUAUACUCUACAAAUUUGCUUCAUGUCUUGUUUACUUGUGCCUUUCUUUAAUGUUUUUCAGAAUCGGUGUUAUAUUUGCAUUAAUGUGCUAUAUUUACUGUCUUUGUGAUUUAUUAUACUUUAGUGUAGGUAUGUGAUUUUCAUAGAUACAUUUUCAUUGUUUUCUUUUGACUACCUGGCAUUCUUUUCAUCAUUUAAAUUUAUUAUGUUUUCUGUUGGGUUGUUAGAUUACUGGUAACCAAUGUCAUAGACAUACCAUUUAUGAUUGAUUUGGCUUGUUAUUGCUUUGAAAUAUGCUCAUUUUUACAUCUAUUUUUAAUAGAAGUUCAUAUAUAUAUGUUUUAAUAUAUAUUUUCUAAUUCUAAGGGUGGUUUCUUUAUUUUAUGAAAGACAUAAUUUUGAUAUUUUGUAAGUUUCAGUAAUUUACAGUCUUAACGUGCAAUAGCUACAUGAUUUGUUGUAUGUACAAUGGCUUGUAGGUUGCACCUCAGGUACAGAUAAGUUAACAUUUACAGAAGUUGAAAAAAUUCAUCAACAUUAUCUCUCCUAAACAUACAUUGACAGUAAGAACGUUAGUACAAAUCAUCAAGUCCGUAUAAAGGACCUGAAGUAAAAGCUUCUAGAAGGAACAAACUUCUGGAUUGGAAUAGUUUGGGUACAUUUAUUUAUGUAAUUUGAAAUACCCCCCCCCCCCCACCACCACCACCACCACCACACACACACACCCCACACACCGGUAUAAAGAUUAUCUUAUAUAAUGAGAUAUUACUUGUCUUUAUUUUAUACCGAUACAUACUCUGUUUCAAUGAUAAUUGAUUUUUAUUAAAUGAUUUAAAUUGUUUUUGCCACAAAUGAAUACUAUUUACAAAAAUAUUAUUUAAUUGUUACUCUUGCUAUUUUUACAGAUGUUUUUGAAUCUCUGCACUACGGUAAUAUGAUUAGUGUAUCUAUAAAUUAAUUAUAGAUAAAAUUGAGACCUGAUGCACUCAACCUAUUUACUGAUUGGUGCUGCUGUCUAUAUAAUACUUAGUAAAACAUAGUAGGAGAAACUAAAUUUACAAGACUUGGCAGCCAUUCUGCUGUAGAUAGUACUUUUUGUUAUGUGUAUUAAAUAGACGUAAAACUUAAACAAUCAACAAACAUACACAAAUAUUGACUAGUCAAACACAAUGCCAGACUACUUGCACCAAUCUUAACAUGUCUUUUUCAUUGUGUUUUUUUUGUUGUUGGUAAUAUAGUUCCUCUAGUAUUUCAGUUUUAAUCAUUUAAAUUUCCAUAUGUGUACUGCCUUUCAUAUAUUUAUAUUUAUAUGCAUUGUAAUUUUAAAAAAAAAUCAUAUAAUUUCUCUACGUCUAGUGAAUUGUUCAGCCUUAAUAUGGAAUUGUAUUGUUACAUUUGUUUAAUUACCAGAUUCAUUUCUAGUCUUUGGAACGAUAAAUAAAAAAAGCUAUUGCAAAAUUACUGAAGCCAGUUUAAAAAAAAAAAUCCAACCCUGUAUUUUGUCUCAGUAUCCAAUGUGUUCAAGAGUUUAAAUGCAGAUAUCAUACGGAACAAAGUACUUUAAUAUUUAACAGUAUGUGUAUCAAUACAAUUCCUUUUAAGUGAUUUGUAUGAUAAUUAUAUCCUAGUUAUACCAUUAGUACCAUUUAUUACUUCACAUUUUGAACUUUGAAUAAGUUUUACCUCUGUUCAAGAUCAAUGGUAGUUUCAGAUCACUUCAUCAAUUUUCCAUAUUUCAUACCUUAAAUUUUCCAACUAUUUUUCAUGAGAUACAAAAUCAAAUGGGUUUUUUCCAAGUGAGAGUAUAUGCAACCACCGAAAGUUAAUAACAGCUACCUUAACUGUUCACUUGCAUAUUACUGUAUUUCAUGACAGUUUCUCAUAAAAUUCCAACAUAUACUAGUAUUAAUUUAUUUGGUUGAUUGCAUUUUAAUGUAGUUUGUUUGGAUAUAUUAGUACAAUUCACAAAUUAUGCUAGUGAUCUGGAACUGCCAUUAUGUCUGUAUUUGUACAAGUCUCAGAAGGGUUUUUUUUACUGUCCAUUAUCGGAUAGUAACAUAUUUGUGCAUUCCCAAUUCAUUCCUUCUGAUGGUGAAAGUUAAUUGUUCUCUUUUGAGGAUGCUGUUUGUUUCUUUAAAACCUGUAAAAGUACUUUAAAAUUAAACUGACUGAAAUCUUU